rnacentral:lncRNA from 1 species
AUGUUAACCUUGUGCUCUUGCCCAGUGGCCUCUCCUCCUAGGGACUGGCCCGUCCUCCCUGAAGUCCUGCUGUUUAACCAGCGAGGCGCAGAGAAGCAGGCAGCUAGUCCCCCUAAUGUGUCACUGUCCUUUGGGUGCCCUGUCACAGGUGGCGACUGUCCCCUGGUCCUCUGCGGGGGAGGAGCUGAUGGCUGGGGCAGCUCUGGGGGACCCUGGGGCAGAGGCACCCCCAGGGCCAGAAGUCCCAAAUCCUUAGUAAAUCUCUCUCUCUGUUCCUCAUCCUGGGCGGAGUUGGAAGGUCCCUUCCAAUGGCUGCAUUGGUUUUCAGUGAGAAUCUUCUUUCAAUCGAUGACCUGCAAUAUUGCUAUCGUGGUGGACUCUCUGCAAAAGGCUCGAGGGCCCUAUCAGACUGAAGGAAAUUAGUAACCCAUCUUUCUUCAUUGCAAUGUGUGUGUUCAGUCUUAGGUUCUUGGAGAAUGCUGAGAAGAAUGUACAGAUAUUUCCCAUAUAGCCCUGCGUUCCCCACUGUUAACAUCCCCACCAGAAAGGUACACUCGUCACAUCUGCUGGACCUAUGCUGAUACAAGGUGACCACCCGAAGCCCAGAGUUGACCUGGAGUACCAUACAUCCUGUGGGUUUAGACGAACAUACGAUGGCAUGUUUUUACCCUUGAGGUACUACGCAGAAUAGUUUCAUUGCCUUAAAAACUCUCCGUGCUCUGCCUAUCCUACUCAUGCCCCUGCCCCCUCCAGACCACCCCAAUCUGUUUACUGUCUCCAGUGUUGCCAGAAUGUCCUAGAGUUGGAAUCAUACGGUAUGUAGCCUUUCUCUGAUGGGCUUCGCUCACUUAGUGAUACGUGUUUAAGUUUCCUGCGUGUCUUUUCAUGCCCUGACGGUCAGCUCAUGUCUUUUUAGCGCUGAAAAAAUUCCAUCGUCUGCAAUGCAACAUAGCUCCAUUCACCUACCUGGUUGAUCCCACGUUUUGGGAAUUAUGAAUAAAGCUGCUAUCAACAUCCA